UACGGGGGGGGCAGCGUUGUUCGGAAUUACUGGGCGUAAAGGGCGCGUAGGCGGCCUUCUAAGUCAGACGCGAAAUCCCUCGGCUCAACCGGGGAACUGCGUCUGAUACUGGAGGGCUUGAAUCCGGGAGAGGGAUGCGGAAUUCCAGGUGUAGCGGUGAAAUGCGUAGAUAUCUGGAGGAACACCGGUGGCGAAGGCGGCAUCCUGGACCGGCAUUGACGCUGUGGCGCGAAAGCCAGGGGAGC
rnacentral:rRNA from 1 species